CCUACGGGAGGCAGCAGUGGGGAAUAUUGGACAAUGGGCGAAAGCCUGAUCCAGCAAUGCCGCGUGAGUGAUGAAGGCCUUCGGGUCGUAAAGCUCUUUUACCAGGGAUGAUAAUGACAGUACCUGGAGAAUAAGCUCCGGCUAACUCCGUGCCAGCAGCCGCGGUAAUACGGAGGGAGCUAGCGUUGUUCGGAAUUACUGGGCGUAAAGAGUACGUAGGCGGUUAUUCAAGUCAGAGGUGAAAGCCCGGGGCUCAACCCCGGAACUGCCUUUGAAACUAGAUAACUAGAGUCUUGGAGAGGUUAGUGGAAUUCCGAGUGUAGAGGUGAAAUUCGUAGAUAUUCGGAAGAACACCAGUGGCGAAGGCGACUAACUGGACAAGUACUGACGCUGAGGUACGAAAGCGUGGGGAGCAAACAGGAUUAGAUACCCUGGUAGUCCACGCCGUAAACGAUGAUAACUAGUUGUUCGGUCACUGGUGACUGAGUGACGCAGCUAACGCAUUAAGUUAUCCGCCUGGGGAGUACGGUCGCAAGNUUAAACUCAAAGGAAUUGACGGCUGAAGAGUGCGAGACGACGACGAGGGAGGAGG
rnacentral:rRNA from 1 species